UACGGAGGGGGCUAGCGUUGUUCGGAAUUACUGGGCGUAAAGCGCGCGUAGGCGGACCUGCAAGUCGGGGGUGAAAGCCCGAGGCUCAACCUCGGAACUGCCUUCGAUACUGCGGGUCUCGAGUCCGGGAGAGGUGAGUGGAAUUCCUAGUGUAGAGGUGAAAUUCGUAGAUAUUAGGAAGAACACCGGUGGCGAAAGCGCUCUGCUAGGCCGCAACUGACACUGAGGGACGAAAGCUAGGGGAGCGAAUGGG
rnacentral:rRNA from 1 species